GCUUUAUAUUUGUAUAUUAUUAAUUAUUUAGGUUAAAUUUUUUUAAUAUUAGAAAAAGUAUUUUGUUGGGGUGACAGGAAGAUAAAAAAAACUCUUUUUAGUUUAUUUACAUUGAUAUAUGAAUUGUUGAUCCAUUAUUAUUGAUUAUAAGACUAAGU
rnacentral:rRNA from 1 species